rnacentral:rRNA from 1 species
GAUGAACGCUGGCGGCGUGCCUAAUACAUGCGAGUCGAGCGAACGGACGAGAAGCUUGCUUCUCUGAUGUUAGCGGCGGACGGGUGAGUAACACGUGGAUAACCUACCUAUAAGACUGGGAUAACUUCGGGAAACCGUAGCUAAUACCGGAUAAUAUUUUGAACCGCAUGGUUCAAAAGUGAAAGACGGUCUUGCUGUCACUUAUAGAUGGAUCCGCGCUGCAUUAGCUAGUUGGUAAGGUAACGGCUUACCAAGGCAACGAUGCAUAGCCGACCUGAGAGGGUGAUCGGCCACACUGGAACUGAGACACGGUCCAGACUCCUACGGGAGGCAGCAGUAGGGAAUCUUCCGCAAUGGGCGAAAGCCUGACGGAGCAACGCCGCGUGAGUGAUGAAGGUCUUCGGAUCGUAAAACUCUGUUAUUAGGGAAGAACAUAUGUGUAAGUAACUGUGCACAUCUCGACGGUACCUAAUCAGAAAGCCACGGCUAACUACGU